CACAAACUCCAUAAAAAGAAAUGGGUGCACUUUGAUCGUUUUGGACAGGAACAGAUGUGGCCAUGCUGAGAACGUGUCAUUGCAGAACAGAACUUUGCUGUGUUACACUGUGGAGAGAAACAAAAAGACAAAUGGUCUCUUUUGAUGUCCUGCUCCUCUUGCGCGCUCAGUCGGUUGUCCAGUGACAUCUGACCCCUGCAGACGCAGAGCAGCGAGAGGAGCACGCUCAGGUAAACCGCCGCGCGGACGCUGUCCAUGGUGCUGGAUGCUUUGGCGUCAGUAAGAACCAGCUGAGAGUCGGUCUGAAUCAGAGAUGGUAUCGCUUUGACAUCCUUGCAGUUUAAAUCCGCUGUUUGUCCUCUGAAAAAAUUUGUUUAAUUUAUUUAUUGAUAUGCAAUUGUUUGAAACGACUGUGGUUGUGUGUCAUAAUGCAUCUUGUCCUCUUUACUUAGUAAAAAUAACACAGGUACAUAAUCUUA